ACAGUUGAUUAACGUCACCACUGGAUCUGGGAAAAAUGGCUUAUGGGCAGUUUCACAUCAUAAAAUCUUCUUGCUAUUAUUAAACAGAAAAAAAACGCUUGUGAGCUCAAAGCAAGUGAGUGCUGUUCAUGAGGUUGGAGGCGUUUUGCAAUGGUUGUUGUGGAAGAUAAAGCCCAGCCUGACAUAUGCUCUUUCAAAGAAAGUUCUCAGGAAUAUCCUGUAUAUGGCACCAGACCUCAGACAAUUCAGGUUUGGCUUUUUCCUGAUGUUCUAUCAGUGACUGGAAAUUGUAUUAGUCCCUUCUCAUGCUGCUAUAAGGACAUACCCGAGACUGGGUAAUUUAUAAAGGAAAGAGGCUUAAUUGACUCAUAGUUCUGCAUGGCUGCAGAGGCCUCAGGAAACUUACAAUCAUGGUGGAAGGGGAAGCAAACACGUCCUUCUUCACAUGGCAGCAGGAAGGAGAAGUGCUGAGUGAAGGAGGAAAAAGCCCCUUAUAAAACCAUCAGAUCUCCUGAGAACAAACUCAGUAUCACAAGAACAGCAUGGGGAAACCACCCCCAUGAUUCAAUUACCUCCAUCAUGUCCCUCCCAUGACAUGUGGGGAUUAUGGGAUUACAAUUCAAGAUGAGAUCUGGGUGGGGACACAGCCAAACCACAUCAGAGAUCAAUUUUGAGUGUUGGAAUUUUGGUGACAUAGCAGAAGAAUGACACCUUCGGACAAGUCUGGGGUUACAUCUAGAUGUUAUUUCCAAAUUGCACAUUAUUUAGGGGACUUGUGACCCCUAAUAUUUUGGCUUAAGAUAUGGUUAAGAAGUGGCUCAAUUUAUAGUACUAUGCACCUGGCUUCUAUCAUAAAACUCCAUUAAAACCACAGUCUUGACGAUUUUCAACUAGUCAGUCUCCAUAUAUCAGGAGAUGGAUUGCCUAGGUUGUGGGCUGUCUGACUUUUGAAAACUAAAAAUAAAAUUCUAAGUCCCCAGCCAUCUGAAUGGAUCCUUCCUGUCAGCCAAGGGCAUUCCAGAGUUAACCUGAAAAACUAGUUCAGGCCAUGAUGGAAAGGAGGAGUCAGAUAUACCUCAUUAUACCCUCCUCCCUUAUGAAGUUCAGGCACAGCUGACCAGCAUUAACAUUAAAACAGAUCCCAAGACUGACAAAACAGACCUUUUGUAGCAAUAAGAGAUAUCGAAUUCCAGCCUAACUCUAGUAUAGCAUCACAUCACAGGUAAGAGGCCCUGAAAGAAAUUGAAGUAUUUUGCCCCCAAAUUAUGUUUCUUUGCCAUAUCUUGAAAUAAUCCUGCAAAGCUGUCUCUUGUGGGGAAAAUCUACAUUCUGAAGAGAAUCCUCUUUCUUUUAGAGGCCUCUUUCUUGAUCCAGGAGAGAAUCAACUCUGAUAAGAAACAUCUACAAUCUAUUCUCUCUGAAGCCUGCUACCUGGAGGCUUAUAUUGUGUAAUGGGAACCUCGGUUCUCAUUUAAGGGGAACAAUUAAGGGGUCUCCACAACCCCUUAUCUUAACCCAGACAUUCCCUUCUAUUGAUUCUAGAUCUUUAGACAAUAACUUAACCUCUUUCUACCAAUUGCCAAUCAGAAAGUCUUUGAAUCCACCUGUGACCUGAAAGCCCCACCUUGCUUUGAGUUGUCCUGCCUUUCCAGACCAAAUCAGCGUACAUCCUACAUGUAUUGAUUGAUGUCGUAUGUUUUCCUAAAAUGUUUAAAACCAAGCUGUAGCCCAACCACCUUGGGCACAUAUCCUCAGGAUCUCCUGAGGGCUGUGUCACAGGCCAUCGGUCACUCAUAUUAAGGGAGGAGACCACCCUUCAUAUUGUCUUAUGCCCAAUUUCUGCCUCCAAAGAAAGAAGUAAAAACUAAAAGGCAGGAAUGAAAUCCACAAGCAGACAGCCCGGCGCCACACCCUGGGCCUGGUAGUUAAAGAUCGACCCCUGACCUAAUCGGUUAUGUUAUCUAUAGAUUACAGACAUUAUAUAGAAAAGCACUGUGAAAAUCCCUGUCCUGUUCUGUUCUGAUUACCGGUGCAUGCAGCCCCCAGUCAUGUACCCCCUGCUUGCUCAAUUGAUCAUGACCCUCUCACGCAGACCCCUUAGAGUUGUGAGCCCUUAAAAGGGACAGGAAUUGCUCACUCGGAGAGCUCAGUUGUUGGAGACAUGAGUCUUGCCAAAGCUCCCGGCCUAAUAAAGCCCUUCCUUCUUUAACUCGGUGUCUGAGGGGUUUUGUCUGCAGCUUGUCCUGCUGUAAUAUUUGGC
rnacentral:lncRNA from 10 species